AGCGAACGCUGGCGGCAGGCCUAACACAUGCAAGUCGAACGAAGCCUUCGGGCUUAGUGGCGGACGGGUGAGUAACACGUGGGAACGUACCAUUUGGUUCGGAACAACUCAGGGAAACUUGAGCUAAUACCGGAUGAGCCCUUAGGGGGAAAGAUUUAUCGCCGAAAGAGCGGCCCGCGUUAGAUUAGCUAGGUGGGGAGGUAAAGGCUCACCAAGGCUACGAUCUAUAGCUGGUCUGAGAGGAUGAUCAGCCACACUGGGACUGAGACACGGCCCAGACUCCUACGGGAGGCAGCAGUGGGGAAUCUUGCGCAAUGGGCGAAAGCCUGACGCAGCCAUGCCGCGUGAAUGAUGAAGGUCUUAGGAUUGUAAAAUUCUUUUACCAGGGACGAUAAUGACGGUACCUGGAGAAAAAGCCCCGGCUAACUUCGUGCCAGCAGCCGCCGUAACAC
rnacentral:rRNA from 1 species